GCCAGGGGUCCGUUUCACAAAAGUAGGAUUCAGACAUCCAGGAUAAAUGACUGAGCUGGGUUCAACGAAUCCAAAACAAGAACGUCCAGGCUUAAUUGGUUGCACAAAGACCAAGCCAGGAUGAGCAGACACGGAUUCAUCAAGCCAGGUGAAACCAAUCCUGGAUCAGUGCGCGCACGCGGCUUCCUCAAAUAGACCCCGCCAUCGAUCACAGAUUCACCGAUUCACCAUGGCAACGAGAGCAGCGUACUUUACCCCGUCGGAGGCAGAAAUCCUCAUGGAGGCUUACGAAGAGGUAAAGGAUCAAAUCAUAAAGAAAGGCAACACCGCCACAGUAAUAAAACAACGAGAGAAAGCGUGGCAAAGUUGCAGGCGGCCUGAAUGCAUGGUCUGCGAUGCUGACUAUCUGAUCAGCAAUGUUGUGGCAAAGUGGCCCGGCCCAGUCCAUGACUCCUGAGUCUUUCGGACCUCUGGAAUCUAUCAGCGCCUAUCACAAGGUGAAUUCUCUGGUGUGUUGCUGGGGGACAGGGGGUAUGCCUGCCAGCCUUUUCUCCUCACACCAUACAUAGACCCUCAGGAAGCACAGCAGGCCCAUAAUCAUGCCCAUGCCAGGACAAGGGCCAGGAUCGAAAUGACCUUUGGCCUCCUGAAGGCACGCUUUCACUGUCUUAACCACUUAAGGGUCAGCCCUUUAAGGGUAUGUGACAUCACUAUGGCCUGUGCUGUCCUCCACAAUGUGGCCUGCCUGAGGAAGGAGAGGGCCCCCAGAGUGCCAUCACACAUGGACUGGGACAAUCCUGCCAUCUUCCCUGAUGACGACAGUGGUCGGCUGGUCAGGGACCAAUAUGUGUUAAAUUAUUUUAGUUAACAUGCAUGCAUUAAAUUUAAGUUAAAUAUGUCCUGCAGUGGCAGAGACGCAUGCUGUGAAUUUCAGUUAAAUAUGGCCUGCAUUGGCAGAGGAAUUUGUGUUUUUUUAUUCAAUUUAAAUUGAUUUGGCCUCUUAUGUUGUUUGUGCUGUAUACUGUGUGUAUACAAGCUUGCAGGGAGGCUACUGCAUCCAUUCAUUUGUCUGUUCAUUUGUUGUGUAUGGAUUUGUCCUGCAUUUAUUUCAGUGUGCAGACAUGCGGGGUGUAUCAUAUACAGACCUUUGAAUGUGUAUUUAUUCUUGUGUUGUAUAAUAUGCUUUGAUUCCGUGCUUUCUAUCUUGUAGAGUCACUGUGUGACUUCAGUUUUGAAAGGAGCUGAUGGUUUACUUGCUUUGAUUUAUCCUUAUUCAAUAAAGGAACAUCAUGUUACUCUUUGAUGUGUAUUUAUAUUUAUAUGGGAUGUGUGUUUUAUAUAUAGUCUAUGGGAAACUGUAAAUUAUCUAAUGAUUGCAAAAUCAUCUAAAAUCAUCAUUUAUCUAAAAUGAUUGCAAUUAAUGAUCACAAAUGUUUAAAUAAUGACAGUGGGUCUGGUUGAAUGUGAUAACAAUGUGCAGUGGGCAGUGGAAUAACUAUUGGUUUCCGUUUGUGGUGACUGCUGACUGAGAUAAGGGAUGAGAUUAAAUAGAUCCUGGAACUUAGCCUGGUCUGGAGCAGGCUAGCUCCACAGAAUAAAUCUCCAUGGUAACUUAUGUCAAAACAUAUCCCACUUCCCCCUAUCCUGCUUUUGUGAAACUGGAUCAAGGAUAAAUUGAUCCAGGAUAACCAAGAUAUCCCGGCUUAAUCCCUUAUCCUGGUUUUGUGAAACAGGCCCCAGGUGACAAU